rnacentral:pre_miRNA from 7 species
GAUUUGUAGUUAAAGUAAACACUUCAAGACUUUAUAUUUAAAGUGAAAGACCCCCGAAGGGAGACCCUCACUCAAGCCUCGGGACAGCCGCGGACCCACGAAGACACUGAGACCG